rnacentral:rRNA from 1 species
GACGAACGCUGGCGGCGUGCUUAACACAUGCAAGUCGAACGGAAAGGCCCUGCUUUUGUGGGGUUCUCGUGUGGCGAACGGGUGAGUAACACGUGAGUAACCUGCCCUUGACUUUGUGAUAACUUCAGGAAACUGGGGCUAUUACCGGAUAGGAUCUCCUGCUGCAUGGUGGUGGUUGGAAAGUUUCGGCGGUUGGGGAUGGACUCGCGGCUUAUCAGCUUGUUGGUGGGGUAGUGGCUUCCCAAGGGUUUGACGGGUAGCCGGCCUGAGAGGGUGACCGGCCACAUGGGGACUGAGAUACGGAGCAGACUCGUACGGGAGGCAGCAGUGGAGAAUAUUGCAGAGUGAGCGGAAGCCUGAUGCAACAGCGCCGGGUGCGGGAUGACGGCCUUCGGGUUGUAAACAGCUGUCGACUGUGACGAAGCGUGAGUGACGGUAAUGGGUAAAGAAGCACCGACUAACUACGUG